rnacentral:rRNA from 1 species
CAGUCGCCGCGGUAAUACGUAGGUGGCAAGCGUUGUCCGGAUUUAUUGGGCGUAAAGCGAGCGCAGGCGGUUUCUUAAGUCUGAUGUGAAAGCCCCCGGCUCAACCGGGGAGGGUCAUUGGAAACUGGGAGACUUGAGUGCAGAAGAGGAGAGUGGAAUUCCAUGUGUAGCGGUGAAAUGCGUAGAUAUAUGGAGGAACACCAGUGGCGAAGGCGGCUCUCUGGUCUGUAACUGACGCUGAGGCUCGAAAGCGUGGGGAGCAAACAGGAUUAGAUACCCCUGUAGUCCCUGUCUCUUAUAC